rnacentral:rRNA from 1 species
UACGUAGGGUGCGAGCGUUAAUCGGAAUUACUGGGCGUAAAGCGUGCGCAGGCGGUCUGUUAAGACCGAUGUGAAAUCCCCGGGCUUAACCUGGGAACUGCAUUGGUGACUGGCAGGCUUUGAGUGUGGCAGAGGGAGGUAGAAUUCCACGUGUAGCAGUGAAAUGCGUAGAGAUGUGGAGGAAUACCGAUGGCGAAGGCAGCCCCUCGGAGCAACACUGACGCUCAUGCACGAAAGCGUGGGGAGCAAACAGGAUUAGAACCUACCGAGUCAGACCAAGCCA